UACGUAGGGUGCAAGCGUUGUCCGGAAUUAUUGGGCGUAAAGAGCUCGUAGGCGGUGUGUCGCGUCGGCCGUGAAAACCUGCAGCUUAACUGUGGGCUUGCGGUCGAUACGGGCAUCACUGGAGUUCGGCAGGGGAGACUGGAAUUCCUGGUGUAGCGGUGAAAUGCGCAGAUAUCAGGAGGAACACCGGUGGCGAAGGCGGGUCUCUGGGCCGAUACUGACGCUGAGGAGCGAAGCGUGGGGAGCGAACAGG
rnacentral:rRNA from 1 species